rnacentral:rRNA from 1 species
AUUGAACGCUGGCGGCAGGCCUAACACAUGCAAGUCGAGCGGUAGCACAGGGAGCUUGCUCCCGGGUGACGAGCGGCGGACGGGUGAGUAAUGUCUGGGAAACUGCCUGAUGGAGGGGGAUAACUACUGGAAACGGUAGCUAAUACCGCAUAACGUCGCAAGACCAAAGAGGGGGACCUUCGGGCCUCUUGCCAUCAGAUGUGCCCAGAUGGGAUUAGCUAGUAGGUGGGGUAACGGCUCACCUAGGCGACGAUCCCUAGCUGGUCUGAGAGGAUGACCAGCCACACUGGGACUGAGACACGGUCCAGACUCCUACGGGAGGCAGCAGUGGGGAAUAUUGCACAAUGGGCGCAAGCCUGAUGCAGCCAUGCCGCGUGUAUGAAGAAGGCCUUCGGGUUGUAAAGUACUUUCAGCGGGGAGGAAGAUGUUGUGGUUAAUAACCACAGCAAUUGACGUUACCCGCAGAAGAAGCACCGGCUAACUCCGUGCCAGCCGCCGCCGUAAGAC